CUUCCUCUUUUCUAAUUUGGCUCUGGAGCCACCAGCAGAACCUCUUCAAUAUCUUGCAUGUUACAGAUUUCACUACUCCCACCAGCUUGGAGACAACAUGUGGUUCUUGACAACUCUGCUCCUUUGGGUUCCAGUUGAUGGGCAAGUGGACACCACAAAGGCAGUGAUCACUUUGCAGCCUCCAUGGGUCAGCGUGUUCCAAGAGGAAACCAUAACCUUGCACUGUGAGGUGCUCCAUCUGCCUGGGAGCAGCUCCACACAGUGGUUUCUCAAUGGCACAGCCACUCAGACCUCGACCCCCAGCUACAGAAUCACCUCUGCCAGUGUCAAUGACAGUGGUGAAUACAGGUGCCAGAGAGGUCUCUCAGGGCGAAGUGACCCCAUACAGCUGGAAAUCCACAGAGGCUGGCUACUACUGCAGGUCUCCAGCAGAGUCUUCAUGGAAGGAGAACCUCUGGCCUUGAGGUGUCAUGCGUGGAAGGAUAAGCUGGUGUACAAUGUGCUUUACUAUCGAAAUGGCAAAGCCUUUAAGUUUUUCCACUGGAAUUCUAACCUCACCAUUCUGAAAACCAACAUAAGUCACAAUGGCACCUACCAUUGCUCAGGCAUGGGAAAGCAUCGCUACACAUCAGCAGGAAUAUCACAAUACACUGUGAAAGGCCUCCAGUUACCAACUCCUGUCUGGUUUCAUGUCCUUUUCUAUCUGGCAGUGGGAAUAAUGUUUUUAGUGAACACUGUUCUCUGGGUGACAAUACGUAAAGAACUGAAAAGAAAGAAAAAGUGGAAUUUAGAAAUCUCUUUGGAUUCUGGUCAUGAGAAGAAGGUAAUUUCCAGCCUUCAAGAAGACAGACAUUUAGAAGAAGAGCUGAAAUGUCAGGAACAAAAAGAAGAACAGCUGCAGGAAGGGGUGCACCGGAAGGAGCCCCAGGGGGCCACGUAGCAGCGGCUCAGUUGGUGGCCAUCGAUCUGGACCGUCCCCUGCCCACUUGCUCCCCGUGAGCACUGCGUACAAACAUCCAAAAGUUCAACAACACCAGAACUGUGUGUCUCAUGGUAUAUAACUCUUAAAGCAAAUAAAUGAACUGACUUCAACUGGGAUACAUUUGGAAAUGUGGUCAUCAAAGAUGACUUGAAAUGAGGCCUACUCUAAAGAAUUCUUGAAAAACUUACAAGUCAAGCCUAGCCUGAUAAUCCUAUUACAUAGUUUGAAAAAUAGUAUUUUAUUUCUCAGAACAAGGUAAAAAGGUGAGUGGGUGCAUAUGUACAGAAGAUUAAGACAGAGAAACAGACAGAAAGAGACACACACACAGCCAGGAGUGGGUAGAUUUCAGGGAGACAAGAGGGAAUAGUAUAGACAAUAAGGAAGGAAAUAGUACUUACAAAUGACUCCUAAGGGACUGUGAGACUGAGAGGGCUCACGCCUCUGUGUUCAGGAUACUUAGUUCAUGGCUUUUCUCUUUGACUUUACUAAAAGAGAAUGUCUCCAUACGCGUUCUAGGCAUACAAGGGGGUAACUCAUGAUGAGAAAUGGAUGUGUUAUUCUUGCCCUCUCUUUUGAGGCUCUCUCAUAACCCCUCUAUUUCUAGAGACAACAAAAAUGUUGCCAGUCCUAGGCCCCUGCCCUGUAGGAAGGCAGAAUGUAACUGUUCUUUUUGUUUAACGAUUAAGUCCAAAUCUCCAAGUGCGGCACUGCAAAGAGACGCUUCAAGUGGGGAGAAGCGGCGAUAUCAUAGAGUCCAGAUCUUGCCUCCAGAGAUUUGCUUUACCUUCCUGAUUUUCUGGUUACUAAUUAGCUUCAGGAUACGCUGCUCUCAUACUUGGGCUGUAGUUUGGAGACAAAAUAUUUUCCUGCCACUGUGUAACAUAGCUGAGGUAAAAACUGAACUAUGUAAAUGACUCUACUAAAAGUUUAGGGAAAAAAAACAGGAGGAGUAUGACACACACAGCAA
ensembl:lncRNA FCGR1BP Fc gamma receptor Ib, pseudogene